rnacentral:rRNA from 1 species
UACGAGGGGGGCGAGCGUUGUUCGGAAUUAUUGGGCGUAAAGAGCUCGUAGGCGGUUUGUCGCGUCUGCUGUGAAAUCCCGAGGCUCAACCUCGGGCUUGCAGUGGGUACGGGCAGACUAGAGUGCGGUAGGGGAGACUGGAAUUCCUGGUGUAGCGGUGGAAUGCGCAGAUAUCAGGAGGAACACCGGUGGCGAAGGCGGGUCUCUGGGCCGAUACUGACGCUGAGGAGCGAAAGCGUGGGGAGCGAACAGG